UGACCCAUGCUUAAGGAGGAGACAUGAACACCUUGGGCGCUUGUGACGUCAAGACCACACGAGGCGGAGGCCACUUGAAGCCAGCACAACGCGGAGGCGACGACCGAAGCACAACAGACGAAACACCAAGACCGCGAGGGAGCAAAGGAGCCAUGGACGUGAUGGGGGCAAGACAUUGGUGUGAAACUCGUUUCCUUGUAUGCAUACCUCGUUGAGCCAAAUGUCCAAAUCAGAGUGUUACAAGUUUACUGUUCGGGAUUAACCCGCCAACAGUUGGCGCCAUCUGUGGAAAUCGACACGAGAAGCUAUGUAAUGAAAUGUUAACACUCCAAGCAAGUGCCUUCAUCAAGUCUAACUCCAAAGGUCCUUUAGGUGCAUCGGAGAUGUCACAUGGCAACAUCCCAUGUCGAGAAGCCUUCCGCAAAGCGCCAUAUCGCAUCAACAGAUCCGUCCGAGGAACUCGAAGGAACUCCAAGAUGAUGUCGAGAAGCAACUGAUUCCCGUGCGCCGGAGACUUGGCGACGGCACAUUGUGUCGAGUAGCGUCUUAUCCUUGUCCGCGGGCAGUGAAUACUCCACGACAACGUGCCGCGCAAAGCAACUCGCUCUGCCGACACCAAAGUCAUAUUGCGGCAGUGUCAGCGCAAUGGGCCGGGCUCGUGCUGAAAUUAAGCCUAGUGUAAGGACACCGUCAACAUAGACAAUGCCAGCAAGGUUGAACUCACACAAAAUAUAGUGAAGUAGAAUAAUUCAUGGCGCAAAUAAAUAUACAAGUAUACGACCAUUAUCUACAAACAACCUCUAGAUGAUACGUACAAAGAAAACUGGCCCCCCACGUGGCUCCAGCCAGCGCCAGGACACCAUCAUAUCGAGCAGUGGCCUGAUGUGCGUACUGCACGCUGAAGUUUAUCCUUAUGUUUAUUUUUAUUUUUUGAUAAGAAAGUUCAUCCUUAUCCUUAGGCCAAGGUCCUAUGCCACGUCAGGUGCUCCAUCCUGCAGUGACACGUUGGUGGCUGCUGAUGCUUCCAGGCCGGCCGCAUGCGAGCGACUCACACGAAGGCACACCUUCUGGCUGAAGCUUCUCGCCAAGCACGCCGCGCUCGACGCCGUCUUGCAUCUAGUCGCGCUAGGCUUGAAGAUACUGGCCGAGCUCUCCUCUGCCAGACGGUCAGUUCCUGCGUCUGUCGCUGCUAGCCUUGCCUGUACCCAAGAACAUCACGACUCGCCCCCGCCUGGUUCCCAUCAGUGCUGGCCCUCUGCGACCGAGCUCGCUCCCGGACCUCCGCCUCCUGCCGCCGCGUACCUGCCGACAACCAAGGGCAUCGAGCUCACAAGAAUCCUGGCGCCUCGCUGUGCCCGUCCUUGCUUGACCACGACGCUCCCGGCGGACCCAGCGUGCCAUGGCCGCUCUGCCUAGCUAGACGUGCUCCGGCGCUGAGCUUCCCGCCGCCGUGACGUCCUCUGCACUCUGCAGGCGUCCUCUGCAGCAGCAUCCCAUCAGGCUCCCCCAAAACUGACGAGGAACGGCGCGCAUGGCGCUCCCGCUGCCUCCACGCAUCGAUUUCAGCGCCCAAGGACACACCAACCUUGGCGACUCCACGGGAAAGAGCGGCCACGCUGGCUACGAUGUCGCCACUCCGUGCAUCGGAGCUUCACCACCGUCGGGGUGCCGCGCGCCGCACACCCGAUCCGGCCUCGCUCCGCUCUGCAUUCCACCGCGCUGCUCUGCUCCCCGAGCUCGCUCGGCGUCUGCGCCACGCGCCCGUCACCGCCAUCUUGUCCGCGCUCCGCAGAAGCCACGCACGGAUGCACCAGCGCGCCUCGACGCAGGACCGCGCCGGAGUCCCCCUCCCCGACCCGCCGCGCUCCACACCCGAUCCUCAAUGCACUCCGCAUGCGCUCGCCCCAUGAGGCCACGCCACGCGCCUAUGACGCACACGCGUUAAGGACCCCGCACCGCGCACCUGCUCGGGGCCACCAGGCCGGAGCCCGUGCCUCGCCGGGCGCCGCUGCUCAACAAAGAAGCCCCGAUUUUUGGUGUGCAGGCCGCAGACCAUGCAUGACCUCUGCACCCAGCCUCGAGCUCGCGGGCGCCGAAGACCGUCCGAACCACCAAGUCCCCUUCCCUGCUCGGCGCCUGUGCCCUUCGCUGGACCAUCCUCAACCUAGCUCGACCACCUGUACAGGAGGAGAGAGCUUGGGAGACGAGCUGGGGAGCAAGCAGGGCGGGGAGAAGAGAGAGCGCAGGGGCAGAAGAUAAGAAGAAAGCUGAGUAGGAAGGAGCAGGUGAGUGAGUGGAUAGGAUCAGCAGCUAGCGGGAUCGAUGGCAGGUAAAAGAAAAAACGUAGCAUUAUCGAUAAUGCUAGAGAUUUUGUCAUCGGGUUGGCAUUGGAUGCAUUUUUCUUCAUAGACUCUCAACGUCAACUUAGAUACUUCAAUGAAGCAAUUGUUGUAGCCUCGCUCAAUACCCCUGGGACGAACAACAAGCUCAGGAUGGCACACAUGACGAGCAGCGCCAAUCGAAUGCGGCAAGGAAGCGAUUGGCACCAAAUCGCAAGGGGUUCAACACCCCGUGACGCAUCAAGCUUACAACAUCCGUCACCGUCAUACGUGAAGCUCAAUCCAUCGUGAACAAAAAGCAAUCGGUGCAACCGCGCUAAGAGUUAACCACUCGAGGCCACACUCCGAGCCUAUGGCGUCACUUAAGCCAUCCAUCGGCUACAAUGGUGAAUCAAUUAACAGAACUCACAGGGGGUUCAACACCCCAAUUAAUUUCUCCCGAACCUCAUGAAGUAAUGGGUAUAAGCUUGCAAGGGGUUCAACACCCCGAGCUACAUUUUGAGCUUUUGAUAUUUAUCUAGCCGCAUUUUACUUUCUUAUUAUAUUAAUAUUUCUUGACAUUACAUUCACCUCUUUGUCGACUUUGGUUUGACACAAUGAACUACGUGAAUCUUCUAUGUUAUGCCUUUUGCAGGAUGAGAUUUAUUCACAACACCUAUCUAUCAUGACAAUGCCAAGUCAAUAAAAUUCCACCAUGAAUGGACCAGGUCUAGCUCACCGGGACGACAUGAGAAGGUAAUACGGCCAUGAGAGGGCUCGGACUAGCUCCCCGAGAAAUCAUGCGCCAGACAUACCCCCUCCAUGGACGGACCCGGCCUAGCUCACUGGGACGACAUGAGCAAAUAAGAUAGCCAUGAGAGGGCUCGGGCUAACUCUCCGAAACAUCAUGUGCCAGACAUACCCCGCCAUGGACGGACCCGGCCUAGCUCACCGGGAUGACAUGAGCAAAAAAGACGGCCAUGAGAAGGCUCGGACUAGCGCCCCGAGAGAUCAUGCGCCAGACAUACCACCUCCAUGGACGGACCCGGCCUAGCUCACCGGGAUGACAUGAGCAAAUAUGAUAGCCAUGGAUAUCCUAAACCAUGCCGACGUCUCACUUCCUAGGCCGGGUCUUAGGUGCGCUUACAAGGAUGAUGCCAGAUAUGAAAUGCGGAAUUGGUUGAUGCAAAACGUUGCAUAGCGUGCGGCUCGAUCGAUGGAGCUUGCAACAUUUGGACUUGUGUGGCAUCAGGAAAUAAAAUUCGAUUAUGCAAGAUGGCAGACAACGAAAGCCGUUUCACCAUGGUCAGUGCCUCAAGAUAUGAAGUACCAACCAAGACCUUUGUCGCAACUACUCCUCUCCCCGGCGCAGCUACUUCACCCCUACCCUUCUUGCCAGACCCCGGCUUCUCUUCCGCCUCUAUGCAGUGACCCACAACUCACACUUUCCAUUGACCACUUCUCUCCAUGAUGCUAUCCAGAGAUAAGUCUGGCCAUAUCACCCCUGAACUACAUUGUUGUUCUACAGUGUUGUUCAGAUGGAGUCCCGGCUGUCGCGGCAAUCUAAUGGCUGCUACUUGAUUUGUGACGCCUGAGGUGUGUGACAAAUAUCAUUUGUGUUGUGGAAGGGGGUCCCCGCCCACCCUGAAUCGACGCAAAUUAUUCUGACUCUUAUAAACCCUAA